rnacentral:rRNA from 1 species
UACGAAGGGGGCUAGCGUUGUUCGGAGUUACUGGGCGUAAAGGGCGCGUAGGCGGCGCACCAAGUCAGGCGUGAAAGCCCUGGGCUCAACCCGGGAAUUCGCUUGAGACUGGUGUGCUUGAGUACGGGAGAGGAUAGUGGAAUUCCCAGUGUAGAGGUGAAAUUCGUAGAUAUUCGGAAGAACACCAGUGGCGAAGGCGAACUUACUGGACACAUAUUGACGCUGAGGUGCGAAAGCGAGGG